rnacentral:lncRNA from 1 species
AUUUAUAGAUUCAAUGCUAUUCCCAUUAAACUACCACUGACAUUCUUCACAGAAUUAGAAAAAACUAUUUUAAAAUUCAUAUAGAACCAUAAAAGAGCCUGAAUAGCAAAGACAAUUCUAAACAAAAAGAACAAAGCUGGAGACAUCAUGCUACCCAACUUCAAACUGUACUACAUGGCAACAGUAAAAAAAUAACAUGGUACUGGUACAAAAAUAGACACAUAGACCAAUGGAACAGAAUAGAGUACUCAGAAAUAAGACUGCUCAUCUACAGCCAUAUGAUCUUCAACAAACCUGACAAAAAACAAGCAAUGGGGAAAGGAUUCCCUAUUUAAUAAAUGGUGCUGGGAGAACUGGCCAGCUAUAUGCAGAAAAUUGAAACUGGACUCCGCUCUUAUGCCUGAUACAAAAAUUAACUCAAGAUGGAUUAAAGACUUAAAUUGAAAACCCAAAACUAUAAAAAACCUGGAAGAAAAUCUAGGCAAUAUCAUUCAGCACAUAGGCAUGGGCAAAGAUUUCAUGACAAAAACAUCAAAAGCAAUUGCAACAAAAGUAAAAAUUGACAAAUGGGUUCUAAUUAAACUAAAGAGCUUCUGCACAGCAGAAGAAAUUAUUAUUAGAGCAAAUAGACAACCUGCAGAAUGGGAGAAAAUUUUUGCAACCUAUCCAUCUGACAAAAUUCUUUUUUUUUUUUUGACAAAGUUCUAAUAUCCAGAAUCUACAAGGAACUUAAACAAAUUUAUAAGGAAAAAACCCAAACAACCCCAUUAAAAAGUGGGCAAAGGACAUGAACAGAUACUUCUCAAAAGAAGAUAUUUAUGUGACUAACAAACAUAUAAAGAAGCUCAACAUCACUGAUCAUUAGAUAAGUGCAAACCAAAAUCACAGUGAGAUUCCAUCUCACGCCAGUCAGAAUGGCGAUUAUUAAAAAGUUAAGAAAUAACAGAUCUGAUGAGGCUGUGGAGAAAUAGGAAAACUUUUACACUGUUGGUGGGAAUGUAAAUUAAGUCAACCAUUGUGGAAGACAGUGUGGUGAUUCCUCAAAGACCUAGAACCAGAAAUAUCAUUUGACCCAGCAAUCCCAUUAUGGGGUAUAUACCCAAAAGAAUAUAAAUCAUUCUAUUAUAAAGAUACAUGCACACGUAUGUUCAUUGCAGCACUAUUCACAAUAGCAAAGACAUGGAAUCAACCCAAAUGCCCAUCAAUGAUAGACUGCAUAAAGAAAAUGUGGUACAUAUACACCAUGGAAUACUGUGCAGCCAUAAAAAGGAACGAGAUUGUGCUCGCUUCUGCAGCACAUAUACUAAAAUUGGAAUGACACAUAGAGGAUUAGCAUGGCCCCUGUGCAAGGAUGACAUGCAAAUUCGUGAAGCGUUCCAUAUUUUUCUCAAGGAUCUAGAACUAGAAUUACCAUUUGACCC